UACGUAGGGGGCAAGCGUUGUCCGGAAUCAUUGGGCGUAAAGAGCGUGUAGGUGGCUCGGUAAGUCCGCUGUGAAAGUCCAGGGCUCAACCCUGGAAAGCCGGUGGAAACUGUCGAGCUCGAGUCCGGAAGAGGCGAGUGGAAUUCCUGGUGUAGCGGUGAAAUGCGCAGAUAUCAGGAGGAACACCAAUGGCGAAGGCAGCUCGCUGGGACGGUACUGACACUGAGGCACGAAAGCUGGGGGAGCAAACAGG
rnacentral:rRNA from 1 species